rnacentral:lncRNA from 1 species
CCUGAUGAACUAAAGCACAUCUACACAUGCUUUAAAAAAGGAUUUUAAUCGUGGACAGUCUUUGGCAAGAUUAACUAAAGAGGAGACAGCCACUGUUGCCAGUGAUGUCUUGCCCCUGUUUACCUUGUUUUAGGAAGGAAAAUACAAGUUAACUGCAAUAUCAAUUUUCUCUAAUCAUUCUGUGUUGUUAAAUAAUGUUUCUGUUAAAAGAAUAACUAUUCUAUUGUUAUUAUUAAAAUAUUGAUGUACUGCAAUAAAAAGUUAAAUGAUGACUUAAAUGUACCAGAGAAGUUUUUAGCUCUCCUUUUAUAUUGAAUCUUAAAUAGAGAGUAAUUGCAAUGAUGACUUUUAGUAACCUUAACUUAAUGAAGGAAUUGUGGUUGUCUGCAUUUGGAAUUCUUACAAGGCAAUCAUGUAAUAGAUAAUAAUAUCUACUGGGUUCUAACUUCACUCUAUAGGCAUUAUUUAUGACUGCUGCUGGCAAAGCAGUUACUCCAUUUUCCAAGCCAAGCUGCAGUGAAAAUUUUGGCAGCAAUCAAAGAAGAGCCUCCAAAAAUAUGGGCCAUAGAGAUGCCUAA